AGGUUAUAUUGGAUAAGUAAGAUUUUGAAAAUCUUUUUAAAGUGUUCGAUUCACUUGUAAUCUU
rnacentral:tRNA from 1 species